UAUUAUCAACAGGCUUGGUAGAAAUC
rnacentral:sRNA from 1 species